AACCUAGCACACCUGCGGUGUGUACCUGCGGAAGGAUCAUUAUCGAGUUACCACUCUAUAACCCUUUGUGAACAUACCUACAUGUUGCUUCGGCGGUCGGCCCCCCGGGCCCCCGGCCCCGCUCACGCGGGGCGUCCGCCGGAGGAUAACCAAACUCUGAUUUAACGACGUUUCUUCUGAGUGGCACAAGCAAAUAAUCAAAACUUUUAACAACGGAUCU
rnacentral:misc_RNA from 1 species